UCUUGCAGCCUGCAGGGAUUGAACCUACAUAAAAAAGGUAGAGGGUAGUGGGAUUAUUCUGUUAUAGUUCUGCAUCAUUUGAAUACAUAGUAUUAUAAACCAAAGAUAAUUUAGCCAUACAUGACUACAUUGUCUGGAUCCUCCCCUGAAUACAAAGAGAGAAAAAGAAAACUAGAAUAUUUUCCAUUUCCAUCCACUAAAAUAUUUAUACUCUUUUGUCAAAAAAAAUAUAUAUAUUUAUACUCAACAUUUCAAGUAGCAGAAGCAAAAUGAAAAAUAUGGGAUUGGAGGCACACAAUAACCAUAAGUUGCAUGUUCUAUGUUGAUGCAGACUUCAUUACAAGCAGAUUUAACACAACCAAAUUCCGAUUUUGUAUGAUGCAUAACUUUACAAAUUUUGUCUCCUGCCUCUACACAAAAAAUAAAUAAAUAAAUAAAAUAAAAAAUGUAAGUUAGGCUUAAAAUUGAAUAACGUACCAGAGUGAAUAAGUCUAAGUUGCUUAAAUAGUUUGUACCUGAUGUAGAAAUAAGAAGAACGACGAGACAGAUGAACAUGAAGACAGUGCAUAAUUUACUAGUUGAGGAAAUCAUGAUUUCUAAUCUAAAUAGUAAAUAGUUUUUUUCUAUAUGUAUAUAUUGGAACUUAUAUAGGUAGACAUGACAAAA
rnacentral:lncRNA from 1 species